rnacentral:rRNA from 1 species
UAGGGAAUCUUCCGCAAUGGACGCAAGUCUGACGGAGCAACGCCGCGUGAGUGAAGAAGGAUUUCGGUUCGUAAAACUCUGUUGUUAGAGAAGAACAGCGCAUAGAGUAACUGUUAUGCGUGUGACGGUAUCUAACCAGAAAGCCACGGCUAACUACGUGCCAGCAGCCGCGGUAAUACGUAGGUGGCAAGCGUUGUCCGGAUUUAUUGGGCGUAAAGCGAGUGCAGGCGGUCAAUUAAGUCUGAUGUGAAAGCCCCCGCCUCAACCGGGGAGGGUCAUUGGAAACUGGUUGACUUGAGUGCAGAAGAGGAGAGUGGAAUUCCAUGUGUAGCGGUGAAAUGCGUAGAUAUAUGGAGGAACACCAGUGGCGAAGGCGACUCUCUGGUCUGUAACUGACGCUGAGGCUCGAAAGCCUGGGUAGCAAACAGG